AUGGCAGAAUCACUGCUUUUCCCUUUGGUGCGUGGCGUGGCCAGCAAGGCCACAAACGCCCUCGUCCAGACCGUGACCCGCAUGUGUGGCCUCGAUGACGACCGCCAAACGCUGGAGCACCAUCUGCUAGCCGUGGAGUGUAAGCUGGUCAACGCGGAGGAAAUGAGCCAAACAAAUGGCUACGUCAAGAGCUGGAUGGAGAAGCUCAAGGCCGUCGCCUACGAGGCCGACGACGUCCUCGACGAAUUUGAGUACGAGGCGCUGCGCCGCAAAUCCCAGAUCGGCAACUCCACUUCCUGCAAGGUACUUGGCUAUGUCACGUGCUGCAGCCUGCUGCUCUUCCGUUUUGCCAUGAGCAAGAAGCUCGAGGCAGUCCUCGGUAAGAUCAAGGAGCUGGUUGAGGAGAUGAACACGUUUGGCCUUGAGAAUUCUGGGAGUCGGGAGUACCAGCAACAUCCUUGGCGGCAGACGCACUCCAAACUGGAUGAAUCUACAAAAAUAUUUGGAAGAGGUGAUGACAAGGAGGGAGUGGUGAAGUUGCUGCUAGACCAGCAAGAUCAGAGGAUGGUGCAGGUGCUGCCCAUCUUUGGCAUGGGAGGUCUUGGCAAGACAACACUUGCUAAGAUGGUGUACAAUGACCAAGAGGUCAAGCAACAUUUCGAGUUGAAGAUGUGGCACUGCGUGUCAGAGAAUUUUGAUGUUAUUGCUAUUGUGAAAUCCAUCAUUGAAUUAGCUACAAAUGAAAGAUGUGACCUGCCCGACAAUAUUGAACUAUUGCAGAAGAAACUUGAUGAAGUCACUGGCCAAAAGAGAUUUUUACUUGUUCUCGAUGAUGUAUGGAAUGAAGAAAAGAGGAUGUGGGAUGAUGAAUUGAAGCCAAUACUUUGUUCUGUUGGCUUACCAGGAAGUGUUAUAGUGGUCACAUGCCGAAGCAAGCAAGUGGCAUCUAUAAUGGCCACCAUUAAGCCCCAUGAGCUAGCAUUUCUGAGUGAAGAAGAUUCGUGGGAACUGUUUUCGAACAAAGCAUUUAGUGAUGGUGUAGAGGAGCAACUAGAGUUACACACCAUUGGAAGACGUAUUGUCAAUAAAUGCGAGGGGUUGCCUCUUGCUCUGAAGACAAUGGGUGGAUUGUUGAGCUCAAAGAAACAAGUAGAUGAAUGGAAAGCCAUAGAAGAAAGUAACAUUGGUGCUAAUGUUGGAGGAUUAUGA
rnacentral:rRNA from 1 species